rnacentral:lncRNA from 1 species
GUCCUAUAUUUUGUUCCCACAGGCCAAACUCAGCCAAACAGCUAUAGAUCCAAGGAGAUCAUUCUGCAAUGUUAGCCACCUCAGUGUUUUGCAGUCCAAGGAUUUAAGAGAGUUUUCUUCAAAACAAUUGACACACCAGGGUGACUUCAUUUCAUUACUUCAAUAAAGUGGCCCGUCGGCUUUUUGUGUGGAAUGUAAACCAAGUUGACACAGAUGGGAGUGGCAAUGAUUUACUUCACACUUAUUUUCAUGGAGGAACUCGAAAUAGCAAGUGCAGGGAAUUAGACUCAAAGACCUCUAGGCCCUCCGUCUGCCAUGUCUCCAUCUCAGAGGCUGAACAACUCACCAAAGGUCACCACGAAAGUCACACAUGAUGCUGAAGUCUGCUUAGGUGUUUCAGCCCAGGCCUCUGACUAUGCUUUACUUCUGAGCUUGAGUAGUGGGAAGAUGGUUGCUCAAAAGGAAACCCAGGUCCAGUUCCCAGAUCAUGAGUGAAUGGAUACUUAGGCAAGAAAAGAAGUCCACUGCUCAGAGAUCCCCUGGACAGACUCUCCAGUCAACCUGCGCUACUGCCAGGGCCCAAAAUAUGCAUUGGGCUUUUCUAAGACAUCAACCUUUUAAUAAAC